AAUGGGACAGUUGGCUGCUUAGCUGUUCCAUGGCCAGGUGUGUGUUAUUCCCUCAUUAUCCCAUUUACAAGGAGCAGAUAAAAGAUCCAGAGUUCAUUUCAAGUGUGCUAUUUGCAUUUGGAAUCUGUUGCUGUCAACUCUCAAUAUGAGAUCCAAAGAGCUGUCACUAUCAGUGAAGCAAGCCAUCAUUAGGCUGAAAAAACAAAACAAACCCAUCAGAGAAAUAGCAAAAACAUUAGGUGUGGCCAAAUCAACUGUUUGGAACAUCCUUAAAAAGAAAGAACGCACCGGUGAGCUCAGCAACACAAAAAGACCCGAGAGACCACAGAAAACAACUGUGGUGGAUGACCGAAGAAUUCUUUCCCUGGUGAAGAAAACACCCUUCACAAUAGUUGGCCAGAUCAAGAACACUCUCCAGGAGGUAGGUGUAUGUGUGUCAAAGUCAACAAUCAAGAGAAGACUUCACCAGAGUGAAUACAGAGGGUUCACCACAAGAUGUAAACCAUUGGUGAGCUUCAAAAACAGGAAGGCCAGAUUAGAGUUUACCAAACAACAUCUAAAAAAGCCUUCACAGUUCUGGAACAACAUCCUAUGGAUAGAUGAGGCAAAGAUCAACUUGUACCAGACUGAUGGGAAGAGAAGAGUAUGGAGAAGGAAAGUAACUGCUCAUGAUCCAAAGCAUACCACCUCAUCAGUGAAGCAUUGUGGUGGUAGUGUCAUGGCGUGGGCAUGUAUGGC